UACGUAGGGGGCUAGCGUUGUCCGGAAUCAUUGGGCGUAAAGCGCGUGUAGGCGGUCCGGUAAGUCCGCUGUGAAAGUCGGGGGCUCAACCCUCGAAUGCCGGUGGAUACUGUCGGGCUAGAGUGCGGAAGAGGCGAGUGGAAUUCCUGGUGUAGCGGUGAAAUGCGCAGAUAUCAGGAGGAACACCAAUUGCGAAGGCAGCUCGCUGGGACGUUACUGACGCUGAGGAGCGAAAGCGUGGGGAGCGAACAGG
rnacentral:rRNA from 1 species